AUGCCCUCGACACCGCCGUGGAAAAAUGUGGCGGAGGGAUUGUUAAUGGAGUACGAGAAGGAGGUAGCGGAGAAGGUGUGGAGAGGCAGGAGGUCUGGGGCGGUGUCACCUGGCUGUGGUGGAGGUGUUUAUGCGAGAAGGAGCCGGAGUGGAAGGAGAGGUGAAAAACAUAGGAAAUAUUGGUUGUUAAGGUAA
rnacentral:rRNA from 1 species